rnacentral:rRNA from 1 species
CCUACGGGAGGCAGCAGUAAGGAAUAUUGGUCAAUGGACGAAAGUCUGAACCAGCCAUGCCGCGUGAAGGAUGAAGGUCCUCUGGAUUGUAAACUUCUUUUAUCUGGGACGAAAAAAGGGCUUUCUAGCUCACUUGACGGUACCAGAGGAAUAAGCACCGGCUAACUCCGUGCCAGCAGCCGCGGUAAUACGGAGGGUGCAAGCGUUAUCCGGAUUUACUGGGUUUAAAGGGAGCGUAGGUGGGCAGGUAAGUCAGUGGUGAAAUCUCUGGGCUUAACCCGGAAACUGCCAUUGAUACUAUCUGUCUUGAAUAUCCUGGAGGUAAGCGGAAUAUGUCAUGUAGCGGUGAAAUGCUUAGAUAUGACAUAGAACACCCAUUGCGAAGGCAGCUUACUACGGGAUUAAUUGACACUGAGGCUCGAAAGCGUGGGGAUCAAACAGGAUUAGAUACCCUGGUAGUCCACGCCCUAAACGAUGGAUACUCGACAUCAGCGAUACACUGUUGGUGUCUGNGNGAAGANAUAUAUACCACCNGGAGACGACGACGAGUAGAACGUACGAAGAAGUAGACGCGUGAGACGAGACCGACGGACGACGACGAGGGAGGAGG